rnacentral:rRNA from 1 species
UCGGGAAUUUUGGGCAAUGGGCGAAAGCCUGACCCAGCAACGCCGCGUGAAGGAUGAAGUAUUUCGGUAUGUAAACUUCGAAAGAAUAGGAAGAAUAAAUGACGGUACUAUUUAUAAGCUCCGGCUAACUACGUGCCAGCAGCCGCGGUAAUACGUAGGGAGCAAGCGUUGUUCGGAUUUACUGGGCGUAAAGGGCGCGUAGGCGGCGCGGUAAGUCACUUGUGAAAUCUCUGAGCUUAACUCAGAACGGCCAAGUGAUACUGCAGUGCUAGAGUGCAGAAGGGGCAAUCGGAAUUCUUGGUGUAGCGGUGAAAUGCGUAGAUAUCAAGAGGAACACCUGAGGUGAAGACGGGUUGCUGGGCUGACACUGACGCUGAGGCACGAAAGCUAGGGGAGCAAACGGGAUUAGAUACCCAAGUAGUCCCUGAGCGGGCUGGCAAGGCGCAU